rnacentral:rRNA from 1 species
CCUACGGGAGGCAGCAGUGGGGAAUAUUGGGCAAUGGACGCAAGCCUGACCCAGCAACGCCGCGUGAAGGAAGAAGGCUUUCGGGUUGUAAACUUCUUUUAAGGGGGAAGAGCAGAAGUCGGUACCUCUUGAAUAAUCUAUGGCUAACUACGUGCCAGCAGCCGCGGCAAUACGUAGGUGGCAAGCGUUGUCCGGAUUUACUGGGUGUAAAGGGCGUGUAGCCGGAGAGACAAGUCAGAUGUGAAAUCUACGGGCUCAACCCGUGAACUGCAUUUGAAACUGGUACCCUUGAGUGUAGGAGAGGUAAUCGGAAUUCCUGGUGUAGCGGUGAAAUGCGUAGAUAUAAGGAAGAACUCCAGUGGCGAAGGCAGAUUACUGGACGAUAACUGACAGUGAGGCGCGAAAGGGUGGGGAGCAAACAGGAUUAGAUACCCGAGUAGUC